rnacentral:rRNA from 1 species
GACGAACGCUGGCGGCGUGCCUAAUACAUGCAAGUAGAACGCACAGUUUAUACCGUAGCUUGCUACACCAUAGACUGUGAGUUGCGAACGGGUGAGUAACGCGUAGGUAACCUGCCUGGUAGCGGGGGAUAACUAUUGGAAACGAUAGCUAAUACCGCAUAAUAUUAAUUAUUGCAUGAUAAUUAAUUGAAAGGUGCAAUUGCACCACUACCAGAUGGACCUGCGUUGUAUUAGCUAGUAGGUGAGGUAACGGCUCACCUAGGCGACGAUACAUAGCCGACCUGAGAGGGUGAUCGGCCACACUGGGACUGAGACACGGCCCAGACUCCUACGGGAGGCAGCAGUAGGGAAUCUUCGGCAAUGGACGAAAGUCUGACCGAGCAACGCCGCGUGAGUGAAGAAGGUUUUCGGAUCGUAAAGCUCUGUUGUAAGAGAAGAACGGGUGUGAGAGUGGAAAGUUCACACUGGACG